rnacentral:tRNA from 1 species
GCACCCGUAGCUCAGCUGGAUAGAGCGCUGCCCUCCGAAGGCAGAGCUCACAGGUUCGAAUCCUGUCGGGUGCGCCA